GUUUUGGAGUAGGAUUUAGAAACACAUGGACAUGAUGGAUAUCGGGAGUCGGUGAAAUCGGACAGGGGAAGAAAAUACCACCGAAACUGUGUCAACUCUUGCCACGACAUACUAUUUGCUGUGAGGUGACAUAAUGUUGUGUAACAUCGGUGGCUGAAACAUGGUCUUUUAAUAGCGUCCUCCAAAAAACAUCACCGAUAAUGCUGGCUGGCGACCAUGCCGGAGCCGGGAUGGAGCUGGAGCAAAAACAGCGCAGCAGCAUUUGGGCCGAGAUGCCGUUCCUCAGUGUGCAGUAGCAGUGCAGGCAGAAAUGAGGCACGUCUCUCCAUCGCCCCCCUGUCCAAAAAAGAUCCUUGGAGCCGAGGUUUAACAAUAAUAAUAGCAACAACAACAACAAAAAAUCCAAAUUGACUGACCCCCUUGGGCGGACGUUGUCUGACGUUGAUAAGAGGAAUUGUUGUUUUGGUAGACGAUUGCGCGACCGAGAGAAGAGGAAAAAAAAAAAAGGGGGAACCAGCCAAGAUUAGGGACAUCCGAAAAGCGGACGCUGGCAACAGGAGAGAGCAUUGUGUGGAAUAUUUCAAGCCAGCUGCACAGAUUAACACACGGAGCCACAGAGCACAGGCACCACACUCUUGUUGUUAGUGGUGAAACGAAGAAAGGAAAAAAAAAUUACGAAAAAAACGAAACUCACCCCCAGGUACGUAAGGCAAGCGAGUGUGUGACGACAAUUUACCUUUUAUCAUACAACGAAAGAUUUAUUUUUCCUUGUUUUGUGAGAGAGCAACCACUAACAUUAACACAUCAUACAGAGAGUUUUCCUACACUAUUGCUUUCUUUUUAUUUUAAAGAACAAAAACGAGAAAAUAUAGAGAGCGAGAGAGAGAGAAAGUUAGGCGAAUCAUCACAUGCUAGGAUCGCCCAAACAACAUUGGAGGGCAAUCCUGUGAUCACAAAUGUACUAAAGCCUAGCCUAGCUUGCGAUACACGUAAACGUAUAGAUAUAUCUAUCUACAUAAACAUACAUAUGCAUAUAUAUAGAGGGAUGUAUGGUUGAA